CCAGCAGGCAAAACCCUCGAUUCCGUCGUGCUCUCAUCCACGGUCUCCAUCGCCGCCCUACUCCACCUCCUGCCCGUCGGCCGUCACCUACCCCACCUCCUCGCGUCGCUGGCGAACCCUCGCGUCGCCUCCCAACCUCCUGCACGUUGGCCACCGCCCUCCCCCAACCCCCCCCCCCCGCAUGCUGCUGGAGGGCCCCAACGCCACCUCUCCGUCUCCUGCGCGCCGCCAGAGUACGUCCGUUCCGCAUCCCAAAUUCCUCCGCUCCCAGCCAUGGUCGUUUGAGCACGAGGUCGCUGUCUCUUGGGUCGAGCGCUUGGGCGCCACCGCUGUAAUUCCUCACCGAGUUGAUUGCGAUGGUGCUCGGGAUACUCUCAUACUCAUUGGGGUGCUCCCUGCGGACGACAAGGAGUAGUCCGAUCUCCGGAUUGCUGUUGCCGUUGGACUGGAUUGUCGUCGCCUCUCAAAAUUGACACACCCCUCCUGGCAGGCCCUCCUGGCUGGAUUCCCCUCGAGCAACCGUUGGAUCCCCGUCUACAUGAUAUACAACGGUUGUUUGUGCCAAGACUGCAUCUUUGAUCAAUUGAUCUGUCUGUUCCAUCCGUUAAUUUUGUUGCACUUCACGGGUUGCAGAAAAUGACGCAAUGAGAGGGGAUGAAUCCUGUUAGAAGUUGCUUUCUUGAUCUAUUUACUGUCAGGAAACUGGUGAAAGAAGUGUUGCACGGUUGGGAAUUAUAAUCUUUGUUGGUGAAUUUCAUCCCAACAUAUCAAAUAACAAGGAACUCCCUUUGGUCUAAACUUAAGGUGGCCUAGCACAAAUCGCUCGAUAACAAUGGUGUUGUUGCACCUCUCCAUAGUCUUCCUCGCGCUCCUCCUCUCGACCACGUUGAUGUGCCCCUUGAUACCGAAUCCAAGGCGUGUAUCCCCGCCAUCAUCGGCAGAGCGGCAUCGACGUGCCCGCUUCGCUGCUGCUUGUGGUGCCACUUCCGCCAACGCAUCUAGCAUGGGUAGGUGAGCAUUCUCCUCCUUCCCAUCGGGUAGGCUUCUCUUCUCUUCCACCCAAGGCGCGUCCGUCAUCGAUAAGGGUGAGGCUAGACACUGAUAGUAUCUUGGGUUGUAUCUCUAUAGUUAGUCUAGGUUUCACAUCAGCUGGGUUUAAGCCGAUUUUUUGUUUCUUAGUUGGACCUAGAUCUAGGAGUUUCUUCCCCUUCUAGCAAGGGUGGGGCAGGGACAUCACCUUGGCACUGCACGACAUCAUACUCUGUCAUUGGCACUCCCGAGCGGACAGGUAGAGCAAGCAACUCAAUAGGUCUGAACUUUAGUGUGUAGAAUUUAGGUAGUUUCUGAAAGAGCGGCACCUCUUAGUGUUAAGUAUGGAAUUUAGUUUUUUCUCAUUAUUGCAAAUAAUUUACAUGUGAUAUUUGGGUGAUAGAGUCUGCAUGUUCAUGUUUUGGGCGCCUGUUUGGAUUCAGUCGCUGGUAGCGAGGAAAAUAACCCUUGGUGGUUACAUUUUCAUGCAAGUACAAAAAUUGCAAUAUGAAUCAAAAUGUUGUGGUUUCUAGAUCUGUUAUAUGUCAAAUGUUCUGGUCACGUUCCUUUCAGAAUUUCUGCCCCUCCACUAGCUCUAUUUGAAAUAUUUUACACACGGUUUUCAUUGCCAUUAAGUUGUUCGAAACACGAUUUGCAUUGCCAUCAUGUUGUUCGAAAUAUCAAUUACAACGAAGUAGAGGCUGAUUUCAAUGAAGUUUGAUGCUUUGGUAUUUUUUGUUUCCUCGCGAAAAACUUCGAAGUUAGAAAUUGAGAUGACUGCAAUUAUUUGCUUAAUGUGAUUAAAUUAAAUAAAGGCCAUACAAUAGAAUCAUAUAAUUCAUCAUGUAUUUAGGGUGUUGAUAAGUGAUAACAGUCUGAUAUAUAUAUUUUCUGUUUCUCCACAGAAAAACCUAUCUAUACCUUCUCUACUACUUAAAAAGACUAAAGUGGUUCCUUAUUCUGCCAUCCACGCAAUACGUUUCGUCGUCCUAGCUAAUGCAAUCAAACCCUUCGUCGUCAGCCGUUCCGCUUCGUCGUCCCACAAACUGUGACUCCCAAAAAAACGCUUCAUCAAAACUAUCCUUCGUCAACGCACCUGGACAACGCUUCAUGACCACAGAGCGCCCGCCGCCCCUCUCCCAGAGCUCGCCGGCCCAGAUUGAGGCCUCUCCCGAGUCUGUGCGUCGUCGGAAUCCCGCCGGUGUGCAUGCUCUUCCGCUCCUCACUCUUUCUUCCACGCCGCCGCCGUCCACCAAUGACCUGUGCCGCCCCCGACCUCCAGAUCCGUCGUCCUUGACCGAGCUUCUCCGCGGUCCCCGUUGCUGGCCUUUUCCCCGUACAGGACCAGAUCCUCCCGACCUCGAGCUCCCCCGCCUCCUGCCAAUCCCUUCUCUGUUUUUUUUUUGCUUUGUUCUUCCCUACUUUUCUUGCACAGUGAGGUUUCUUUUGUAUAUGGUGUUGUUUGCCUCAAAUUAUCCAAAUUGAGAUACAUUGACUUUUUCUGUUCGUUCUUUUAACAGUAUGGCAUUUCGCCAGGUAGUACCGUAGUAGUUGCUGCUAUGAACAUGGCCAAAAGACCUAAAAUUGUUGCCAUUAUGGCAUGUCUAGCGGUUUGUGAUUUAAUAUGUUGCUCUCUUUCUUUCAGUUCUUCUUCCGGUUCUACAUCCAUCUAUUGCUGGAUGUUGCACAGCUUCAGAAUUUUGUGCUCCUCACAUGCUUGGUACAAUGUCAACUCAAAAAUUUCCACUGAGUAAAACUUGUAAGAAACCAUUGGUAUAAUUUUGUGUUCUCAUUUCUUAAGUUGUCAAAUCAAAAAUAUCCACUGAGAUAGUUCCUAAUUGCAUAUCUAGACUAUGUGCUCACCAUUUGCCACUUAACAAAUAAUAAAUUUUGUUUUACAAAAAUACAAACAGUGACAUGAUUUUUUUUUGCAUUUAUAAGCAUAUGUUGGAUUCAUGCACUGCUGUGAGAGAAGAUAUGCAGGGAGAAGGAUAGUCGUGCCCAGCUCUGGAAAGAUGUUCAUCACACUGAUGGAUUUCACGACUGGAGGCUAGGGGAGCACAAGAACCAGGUGCUAUCAGCUGACGAAGGAGCUUUGGCGUGUUCGGCACCCGUGCGUGGUGGCACUCUGAGUUGCUUCUCCUUGGCCUGGAAGAAGGCUCUUCUCCUCUUCCACGUUAGGCCUGAAGUUAGUGAGUCUGGAAGUGCUUUAGCGGUUGAUGCUCUCUCCGUGGUUAAACGUGUUCUACUAGCAAAGAAGUACGGUGCAAACAUUAUUGUAGCUGUGAUGAUAAGCCAAAGGAAUCAUUCCCAGAGCAUUAUACUCAAAUGUCAAGCAUUAGAUGGCACCUUUCUGAAGGUUAGAACCAUUUCAAUACAAUGACUACUUAGUCAAGUGGGGUACAAAUAUGAAUCAGUCCAUGCAAGAUCAAAUUGGCUAUAAGUUACAGUUAAAGUCACAGACGGGAGGACUCCAUUGGAGAGAAGAAAGUUUGGUGGGAAGGAGAAUAGAGGAGUGAGAUGUCAUGGGAGCACCAAUAUAAAGCAGUGAGCUUCUCAUUACCUUAGUUAGAUGACUUGAUUUAUUAUAUAGCUACUUGAGGAAGAUUUUUCACUACUUCAAAAACGAACCGUGUAUUAUCCAUGUGUUGGUAUUAUAGCUAGCAGCUGCAAGGUAUUAAAGAGAUUCUCUUGAUAGCAACCAUACCCAACCAAUAAUUUAUUCAGUUGAGCAUUUCUAUUGGCUCCUAUAGAUGAACGAACAAUUUGAAGAAGGAUACUUUGAAAGGAACUAUUGUAUUCCGCGCUGUUAUUUUGCUAUAGAUGUCAAAGCACAACUGACAUGUCAAAAUUUCGUAUAUUACUAUUUUUUCUAGCUUCAUUUAGUAUUUCUAUGUAUAACUUGGCAAUGUGUGGCCUUUUUUCUCU